AUGAAGUAUUUUAAAGAUAAAAGAUGCAACAAAUAUUACAAAAGUUCAUAUUUGCAAAGGAACUGGGGGAAUUUUACCUUUUUUCUUUAUAUUUAUGAAUCUGGAAAUUCUGUGAAUUCCUUCCAGCGGAUAUGCUCAAUCUUUGGCCAAGUUGCUCCAUCAGGUGCUCUGCAGUUCUUCUGCAAGACUUUAGAGUUCCACAAGACUAUGUGCUGGAGGGAGGAUGGCAGAUCUGGUAAAGAUGAUAUAUUGGGACACAUGUGGAUUUCCAGUUUUGUCAAGUUGGAGAAGCACUUCAGAUUUCUUGGCAGGGAACUCAUUUCGCAAUAA
rnacentral:rRNA from 1 species